rnacentral:rRNA from 1 species
GAUGAACGCUGGCGGCGUGCCUAACACAUGCAAGUCGAGCGAUUUACUUCGGUAAAGAGCGGCGGACGGGUGAGUAACGCGUGGGUAACCUGCCCUGUACACACGGAUAACAUACCGAAAGGUAUGCUAAUACGAGAUAAUAUGCUUUUAUCGCAUGGUAGAAGUAUCAAAGCUUUUGCGGUACAGGAUGGACCCGCGUCUGAUUAGCUAGUUGGUAAGGUAACGGCUUACCAAGGCGACGAUCAGUAGCCGACCUGAGAGGGUGAUCGGCCACAUUGGAACUGAGACACGGUCCAAACUCCUACGGGAGGCAGCAGUGGGGAAUAUUGCACAAUGGGCGAAAGCCUGAUGCAGCAACGCCGCGUGAGCGAUGAAGGCCUUCGGGUCGUAAAGCUCUGUCCUCAAGGAAGAUAAUGACGGUACUUGAGGAGGAAGCCCCGG